GGGCCCGCACAAGCGGUGGAGCAUGUGGUUUAAUUCGAUGAUACGCGAGGAACCUUACCAGGGCUUAAAUGCAGAGCGACAGAGGUGGAAACACCUCCUUCUUCGGACGGUCUGCAAGGUGCUGCAUGGUUGUCGUCAGCUCGUGCUGUGAAGUGUCGGGUUAAGUCCCAUAACGAGCGCAACCCCUAUUUCUAGUUGCCAGCGGUUUCGGCCGGGGACUCUAGAGAAACUGCCAGCGUAAGCUGUGAGGAAGGUGGGGAUGACGUCAAAUCAUCACGGCCCUUACGUCCUGGGCCACACACGUGCUACAAUGGUAAGGACAGAGAGUUGCCAACCCGCGAGACAGUGAUGUGGAGCGGACCCCUUAAAGUAUGUCGUAGUCCGGAUUGGAGUCUGCAACUCGACUCCAUG
rnacentral:rRNA from 1 species